GACGGUUUGGCGAGUGGUCUAAGACGCCAGAUUUAGGCUCUGGUUCGAAAGGGUGUGGGUUCAAAUCCCACAGCCGUCA
rfam:Ipomoea nil DNA, scaffold: scaffold1636, cultivar: Tokyo-kokei standard.